rnacentral:rRNA from 1 species
GACGAACGCUGGCGGCGUGCUUAACACAUGCAAGUCGAACGGGAAAUUGUUUCAUGAAGUUUACGGAUGGAGUGGAAUGAUUUUUAGUGGCGGACGGGUGAGUAACGCGUGAGGAACCUGUCCUGCAGAGGGGGACAACAACGGGAAACUGUUGCUAAUACCGCAUGAGACCACGGAGCCGCAUGGCUUUGAGGUAAAAGGAGAAAUCCGCUGCAGGAGGGACUCGCGUCCCAUUAGAUAGUUGGUAGGGUAACGGCCUACCAAGUCAGCGAUGGGUAGCCGGACUGAGAGGUUGAACGGCCACACUGGGACUGAGACACGGCCCAGACUCCUACGGGAGGCAGCAGUGGGGAAUAUUGGGCAAUGGGCGCAAGCCUGACCCAGCAACGCCGCGUGAAGGAAGAAGGUCUUCGGAUUGUAAACUUCUGUCAUUGGGGACGAAGGAAGUGACGGUACCCGAUGAGGAAGCCCCGGCUAACUACGUG